UGGGGAAUAUUGCACAAUGGGCGAAAGCCUGAUGCAGCAACGCCGCGUGAGUGAUGAAGGCCUUCGGGUUGUAAAGCUCUGUCUUUUGGGACGAUAAUGACGGUACCAAAGGAGGAAGCCACGGCUAACUACGUGCCAGCAGCCGCGGUAAUACGUAGGUGGCAAGCGUUGUCCGGAUUUACUGGGCGUAAAGGAUGCGUAGGCGGAUUUUUAAGUGAGAUGUGAAAUACCCGGGCUUAACUUGGGUGCUGCAUUUCAAACUGGGAAUCUAGAGUGCGGGAGAGGAGAAUGGAAUUCCUAGUGUAGCGGUGAAAUGCGUAGAGAUUAGGAAGAACACCAGUGGCGAAGGCGAUUCUCUGGACCGUAACUGACGCUGAGGCAUGAAAGCGUGGGUAGCAAACAGGAUUAGAUACCCUGGUAGUCCACGCCGUAAACGAUGAGUACUAGGUGUAGGAGGUAUCGACCCCUUCUGUGCCGCAGUUAACACAAUCAAGUACUCCGCCUGGGAAGUACGAUCGCAAGAUUAAAACUUAAAUGAAUUGACGGGGUCAUAGCUGUUUCCU
rnacentral:rRNA from 1 species